AUUGAACGCUGGCGGCAUGCCUUACACAUGCAAGUCGAACGGUAACGAGCCUUCGGGUGCCGACGAGUGGCGAACGGGUGAGUAAUACAUCGGAACGUGCCCGAUCGUGGGGGAUAACGAGGCGAAAGCUUUGCUAAUACCGCAUACGAUCUACGGAUGAAAGCAGGGGACCGCAAGGCCUUGCGCGGACGGAGCGGCCGAUGGCAGAUUAGGUAGUUGGUGGGAUAUAAGCUUACCAAGCCGACGAUCUGUAGCUGGUCUGAGAGGAUGAUCAGCCACACUGGGACUGAGACACGGCCCAGACUCCUACGGGAGGCAGCAGUGGGGAAUUUUGGACAAUGGGCGCAAGCCUGAUCCAGCCAUGCCGCGUGCAGGAUGAAGGCCUUCGGGUUGUAAACUGCUUUUGUACGGAACGAAAAGCCUUCUUUUAAUACAGGAGGGUCAUGACGGUACCGUAAGAAUAAGCACCGGCUAACUACGUG
rnacentral:rRNA from 1 species